GCCCCCGUACCCCAACGGCAGAGGGAGUCCCCUUAAAAGGGACCCAGUGUGGGUUCGAGUCCCACCGGGGGCA
rnacentral:tRNA from 1 species